rnacentral:hammerhead_ribozyme from 1 species
GCAUUGCUGACGAGUCCCGAACAGGACGAAACAGUUGUCCCGGUGC